rnacentral:rRNA from 1 species
UACGUAGGGUGCGAGCGUUAAUCGGAAUUACUGGGCGUAAAGCGUGCGCAGGCGGUUCGUUAAGUCAGAUGUGAAAGCCCCGGGCUCAACCUGGGAACGGCAUUUGAAACUGGCGGGCUGGAGUGAUGCAGAGGGUCGAUGGAAUUGCCGGUGUAGUGGUGAAAUGCGCAGAUAUCAGGAGGAACACCGAUUGCGAAGGCAGCUCGCUGGGACGUUACUGACGCUGAGACGCGAAAGCGUGGGGAGCAAACAGG